rnacentral:misc_RNA from 1 species
AUGGAAAUAUUGGGCUAUAAUUAUCAAAUGUUUGGCACCAGCCCAUAUGGAGAAUACUGGCGCCAAAUUCGCAAGAUUGUCACUCUUGAGGUUCUCUCAAAUCAUCGGCUAGAGAAGCUCAAACAUGUGCGAAAGGCGGAGGUUAAAGUAGCCAUCGAAGGAUUAUACCAGCAAUGGAUCAAGAACAAAAAUGAUUCGGACAAACUUUUGGUGGAGAUGAAGAGAUGGUUUUUCGAAGUAAAUCAAAAUGUGGUAUUCAAGAUAGUUGUAGGGAAGAGAUUUGUAGAGUGUAAUAAAGGCGAUGAAGGUAGAGAUAGUGAUGAUGACUGGAGAUCAGCACUGAGAGAUUUUUUCAAACUCAUGGGGAAGUUUGUAGUGUCAGAUGCGUUUCCAUUCCUAAGGUGGCUAGAUUUUGGCGGGGAUGAGAAGGAGAUGAAGAAGACUGCAAAAGAGCUGGACAAUAUAAUUGGAGGAUGGUUGCACGAACACAAGCAGAAGAGAGCUUCGGGCGUGGUAUAUAAGGGGGGAGGAGAAGACUUCAUGGAUGUGUUAUUGUCAAUCCUGCAAGACGCAAAAGAGCUUUCUAACCGAGAUGUUGAUACUAUCAACAAAUCUACCUGCCUGGCUAUAAUUCUAGCAGCUUCAGACACUACAUCGGUGACGCUAACUUGGACUUUGUCAUUACUACUCAACAAUCGCCAUGUCCUAAAGAAAGCACAACAAGAAUUGGACACCCUUGUCGGUAGAGAAAGGCAAGUGAAGGAAUCAGACAUGAAGGAUUUGGUUUACC